CAUGCAAGUCGAGCGGUAACAGAAAGUAGCUUGCUACUUUGCUGACGAGCGGCAGACGGGUGAGUAAUGCUUGGGAACAUGCCUUGAGGUGGGGGACAACAGUUGGAAACGACUGCUAAUACCGCAUAAUGUCUACGGACCAAAGGGGGCUUCGGCUCUCGCCUUUAGAUUGGCCCAAGUGGGAUUAGCUAGUUGGUGAGGUAAUGGCUCACCAAGGCAACGAUCCCUAGCUGGUUUGAGAGGAUGAUCAGCCACACUGGAACUGAGACACGGUCCAGACUCCUACGGGAGGCAGCAGUGGGGAAUAUUGCACAAUGGGCGAAAGCCUGAUGCAGCCAUGCCGCGUGUGUGAAGAAGGCCUUCGGGUUGUAAAGCACUUUCAGUCAGGAGGAAAGGGUGUGAGUUAAUACCUCAUAUCUGUGACGUUACUGACAGAAGAAGCACCGGCUAACUCCGUGCCAGCAGCCGCGGUAAUACGGAGGGUGCGAGCGUUAAUCGGAAUUACUGGGCGUAAAGCGUACGCAGGCGGUUUGUUAAGCGAGAUGUGAAAGCCCCGGGCUCAACCUGGGAACUGCAUUUCGAACUGGCAAACUAGAGUGUGAUAGAGGGUGGUAGAAUUUCAGGUGUAGCGGUGAAAUGCGUAGAGAUCUGAAGGAAUACCGAUGGCGAAGGCAGCCACCUGGGUCAACACUGACGCUCAUGUACGAAAGCGUGGGGAGCAAACGGGAUUAGAUACCCCGGUAGUCCACGCCGUAAACGAAGUCAACAA
rnacentral:rRNA from 1 species